rnacentral:misc_RNA from 1 species
AAAUAGAAGAUUACAUAUUUAUAUAUAAAUCUUCUAUAAUUAAUCUACUUAAUUAGAAAUAUCAGUCCUACCUAUUUAUGAAUAUAAAUCCUAUGCUAAUUAGAAAUAUAUAAAAUUCAUAUUAACUUUUCAUAACACUCUUCCCUGAAAGUGGAAUCUCAUCAAUUCCCACAAAUAAGAAAACAUAAUAAAUUCCUAAAUUAAGUUGGAGACUCCUAAGAUAAUUUAGAACAUGUCCUGUGGCUGUUGGAAGAAAAAAACAAGGUGUCCAGGACACUGAAUUUCUGCUGUAUAAUUUGAGAGAGAAUUUGAGAGAUAUUUCUGCUGUAUAAUUUGAGGGAAAUUUCUGCUGUAUCUUUACUAAUAAUAAUCUGUACUGAAAUAAAUAGAGUGUGCGCACGAGAGAGAGAAUGUCCAGGUUGAGUUGGGACUGCUGGCCACUGAAUUUGGCCAAAAAACGUGGCUUCUCUGUUUGGGCAGAAAAACACAUCUCCACAAGCUACCACAGAGGGAAACACAAAUUUCUGACUCUGUUGUGCCUUGUGGAACAUGCCCUGGGUGUGUUCUGGGCUGCCGAAACACGCUAGGGCUGUGUUCUUUGCUGUUUGGAACUCCAAGCCUCGUGUCACUAUUUGCUUGACUGAGUUGGGCAAAGUGAACAAAGAAUAGUUUAGGCUACAUUUGUAAAAUUCCUUAGGCAUCACAUCCAAGGUUUCCCAGGCAUCACACAAUUCGAAGUAUAAUUACUAGAAUUCGUAUUGAUGUGAGUAUAUAUAGAUUCAAACAUUAAUCCAUAACCUUUCAGGAUUUGGACUCCCUAAAGUAAACCUUCAAGUAAUCCUAAUUAAGUAAUCCUUACAUAGUGUUUGGGUCAAUUUUAUUAAAAAUUUUGUGGAAUUUAAUUGAAUUCUAGUUAGAAUUCAU